rnacentral:rRNA from 1 species
UACGGAGGGUGCGAGCGUUGUCCGGAAUCACUGGGCGUAAAGGGCGCGUAGGCGGCCCGUCAAGCGUGUGGUGAAAGCCCGGGGCUCAACCCCGGGUCGGCCGUGCGGACUGGCGGGCUCGAGCACUGUAGGGGCGGGUGGAAUUCCGGGUGUAGCGGUGGAAUGCGUAGAGAUCCGGAGGAAGACCGGUGGCGAAGGCGGCCUGCUGGGCAGUUACUGACACUGAGGAGCGAAAGCUAGGGGAGCGAACGGG